GCUUCUGACUGAGCAGAAUCCUUUGUACACAGGAAGAACAUCACUCUCUGUCAACAAACUGCAGUGUGGAGACGUUUCAUUGAAACUCUCCACAGUGCAACUCUCUGAUGCAGGAACAUACAAAUGCCUUGUACCUAAAUUUAAUGCAGAAAGUGUGGUGACGCUUGCUGUGGGUUCAGUUUCCUCACCAGUCAUAGAACUCAGCAAUGUCAAAAAUGAAAUGGUGUUAGAGUGUAAAUCUAAUGGCUGGUAUCCAGAGCCUCAGAUGUUGUGGGUGUACAGUGAGGGAAAACCCAUUUCUGUUGAACCUACAAAGAAUGUCAGAGGUUCUGAUGGCCUCUAUGCUGUCAGCAGUAAAGUGACUGUGGAGAAAGGACAGAGCUACAGCUUCACCUGCAAAGUUCAACAGAAGAAUAUCAGUCAAAUCAAAGAGACACACAUCCAUGUUUCAGGUGAUCUCUUUAUGGUCCAGUCUAAUACUGCUGUUCACAUUACCAUCAACUUGG